rnacentral:tRNA from 1 species
GGCUUAGUUGGUAAAGCACUCGUCUAGCAUACAAGCGUCGUAGGUUCGAAUCCCAC